CAGCCGCCGCGGUAAUACGAAGGGUGCAAGCGUUACUCGGAAUUACUGGGCGUAAAGCGUGCGCAGGCGGUUUGUUAAGACAGAUGUGAAAUCCCCGGGCUUAACCUGGGAACUGCAUUUGUGACUGGCAAGCUAGAGUCUGGCAGAGGGGGGUGGAAUUCCGCGUGUAGCAGUGAAAUGCGUAGAUAUGCGGAGGAACACCGAUGGCGAAGGCAGCCCCCUGGGCCAACACUGACGCUCAUGCACGAAAGCGUGGGGAGCAAACAGGAUUAGAUACCCCCGUAGUCCCUGUCUCUUAUAA
rnacentral:rRNA from 1 species